rnacentral:rRNA from 1 species
UGGGGAAUAUUGGACAAUGGGCGAAAGCCUGAUCCAGCAAUGCCGCGUGAGUGAUGAAGGCCCUAGGGUUGUAAAGCUCUUUUACCAGGGAUGAUAAUGGCAGUACCUGGAGAAUAAGCUCCGGCUAACUCCGUGCCAGCAGCCGCGGUAAUACGGAGGGAGCUAGCGUUGUUCGGAAUUACUGGGCGUAAAGCGCGCGUAGGCGGCUUUUUAAGUCAGAGGUGAAAGCCCGGGGCUCAACCCCGGAAUUGCCUUUGAAACUGGAAAGCUAGAAUCUUGGAGAGGUCAGUGGAAUUCCGAGUGUAGAGGUGAAAUUCGUAGAUAUUCGGAAGAACACCAGUGGCGAAGGCGACUGACUGGACAAGUAUUGACGCUGAGGUGCGAAAGCGUGGGGAGCAAAACAGGAUUAGAUACCCUGGUAGUCCACGCCGUAAACGAUGAUAAACUAGCUGUCCGGGUUCAUAGAACUUGGGUGGCGCAGCUAACGCAUUAAGUUAUCCGCCUGGGGGAGUACGGUCGCAAGAUUAAAAACUCAAAUGAAUUGACGGGGUCAUAGCUGUUUCCUG